UGGGGAAUAUUGCACAAUGGAGGGAACUCUGAUGCAGCGACGCCGCGUGAACGAAGAAGGCUUUCGAGUCGUAAAGUUCUUUUAUAUGGGAAGAUAAUGACGGUACCAUAAGAAAAAGCCCCGGCUAACUACGUGCCAGCAGCCGCGGUAAUACGCAGGGGGCUAGCGUUGUCCGGAAUCACUGGGCGUAAAGGGUUCGCAGGCGGAAAUGCAAGUCAGGUGUAAAAGGCAGUAGCUUAACUACUGUAAGCAUUUGAAACUGCAUAUCUUGAGAAGAGUAGAGGUAAGUGGAAUUUUUAGUGUAGCGGUGAAAUGCGUAGAUAUUAAAAAGAAUACCGGUGGCGAAGGCGACUUACAGGGCUCAUUCUGACGCUGAGGAACGAAAGCGUGGGUAGCAAACAGG
rnacentral:rRNA from 1 species